AUUGAACGCUGGCGGCAGGCCUAACACAUGCAAGUCGAGCGGAUGACGGGAGCUUGCUCCUUGAUACAGCGGCGGACGGGUGAGUAAUGCCUAGGAAUCUGCCUGGUAGUGGGGGACAACGUUUCGAAAGGAACGCUAAUACCGCAUACGUCCUACGGGAGAAAGCAGGGGACCUUUGGGCCUUGCGCUAUCAGAUGAGCCUAGGUCGGAUUAGCUAGUUGGUGGGGUAAUGGCUCACCAAGGCGACGAUCCGUAACUGGUCUGAGAGGAUGAUCAGUCACACUGGAACUGAGACACGGUCCAGACUCCUACGGGAGGCAGCAGUGGGGAAUAUUGGACAAUGGGCGAAAGCCUGAUCCAGCCAUGCCGCGUGUGUGAAGAAGGUCUUCGGAUUGUAAAGCACUUUAAGUUGGGAGGAAGGGCAGUAAGCUAAUACCUUGCUGUUUUGACGUUACCGACAGAAUAAGCACCGGCUAACUCUGUGCCAGCCGCCGCCGUAA
rnacentral:rRNA from 1 species